AUGAAGAAACUAAGACAAAUAGCGGUACCCUGAAAACAUACAAGAAGUAAGGUAUGUGGUAGCAGUCAAGUUUAUCAUCUAAUUAUGAAGAUGAGAUGCACCUUCAUUCAUUUUUACUCAUCCAUUCAUUCCACACACCUAUGAUCAAGGAUUCUUCACCUGCUGUGUCAUAGACCCCAAAGGCAGUCUGCUGAAGCUUACGGU